UGUUUAUAGCGGAUGAUUGCUUUUGCCCACCGUCGCUAACGCUAUGGCGGGUGAAAGAGGAAAGUCCGAACGUCCUUCUUUGCAAAAAGAAAAAGGAUAGUGGGUAACACCCACCAGUUUGAUGGAAACAUCAAACGAGGGAAAGCGGCACAGAGACAAUACUAAUUUCGAUUCGUCGAAAUAAAAGGUGAAAAGAAUAUGGAGGUUCUGAUUCUAGAAACAGAGCUACCAUAUACCCAUCGUUGUGAAACGAUGUGGUGCCAAGCCCUGUCUGGCGCAAGAGCAGCCCUGAGAUUGAGAGGUCUCUUGGAAAAGUUCGCUCGCUAAUGAUUUUGACAGUAAUGUCAAAGCUAGAUAAAUGAUCAUCGUGUCGACCUAGUCGACAUACAGAAUUCGGCUUAUAGCUAUAAACACCCA
rnacentral:RNase_P_RNA from 2 species